rnacentral:rRNA from 1 species
AGAGUUUGAUCCUGGCUCAGGAUGAACGCUGGCGGCGUGCUUAACACAUGCAAGUCGAACGGGAUCCAAGGAGCGUUUUUCGUUUUUUGGUGAGAGUGGCGAACGGGUGAGUAACACGUGAGUAACCUGUCCUUUUCUUUGGGAUAAGCUCCUGAAAGGGUGUUUAAUACCUUAUGUUCUGUCUGCCUCGCAUGGGGUGGGUGGGAAAGAUUUUUUCGGUGAAGGGUGGGCUCGCGGUCUAUCAGCUUGUUGGUGGGGUGAUGGCUUACCAAGGCUUUGACGGGUAGCCGGCCUGAGAGGGUGGUCGGUCACAUUGGGACUGAGAUACGGCCCAGACUCCUGCGGGAGGCAGCAGUGGGGGAUAUUGCACAAUGGGCGCAAGCCUGAUGCAGCGACGCCGCGUGGGGGAUGAAGGCCUUCGGGUUGUAAACUUCUUUUGCUCUGAACAAGGCGCACCAUGGGGUGUGUUGAGUGUAGGGGUUGAUUAGCGCCGGCUAACUACGUGCCAGCAGCCGCGGUAAUACGUAGGGCGCGAGCGUUGUCCGGAAUUAUUGGGCGUAAAGGGCUUGUAGGUGGCUGGUUGCGUCUGUCGUGAAAGCUCAUGGCUUAACUGUGGGUUUGCGGUGGGUACGGGCUGGCUUGAGUGCAGUAGGGGAGGCUGGAAUUCCUGGUGUAGCGGUGGAAUGCGCAGAUAUCAGGAGGAAUACCGGUGGCGAAGGCGGGUCUCUGGGCUGUUACUGACACUGAGGAGCGAAAGCAUGGGGAGCGAACAGGAUUAGAUACCCUGGUAGUCCAUGCUGUAAACGGUGGGAACUGGGUGUGGGGGGCUUUUUUGUCUUCUGCGUCGUAGCUAACGCGUUAAGUUCCCCGCCUGGGGAGUACGGUCGCAAGGCUAAAACUCAAAGGAAUUGACGGGGGCCCGCACAAGCGGCGGAGCAUGCGGAUUAAUUCGAU